rnacentral:rRNA from 1 species
GAGACAGUUCGGUCCCUAUCUGCCGUGGGCGCUGGAGAACUGAGGGGGGCUGCUCCUAGUACGAGAGGACCGGAGUGGACGCAUCACUGGUGUUCGGGUUGUCAUGCCAAUGGCACUGCCCGGUAGCUAAAUGCGGAAGAGAUAAGUGCUGAAAGCAUCUAAGCACGAAACUUGCCCCGAGAUGAGUUCUCCCUGACCCUUUAAGGGUCCUGAAGGAACGUUGAAGACGACGACGUUGAUAGGCCGGGUGUGUAAGCGCAGCGAUGCGUUGAGCUAACCGGUACUAAUGAACCGUGAGGCUUAACCUUACAACGCCGAAGGUGUUU